GUGAUGCUGCGAGAGGAGACGUGCGCCACACUGGCAAAACACAUCAGACAGCACUCCGAAGCGCUCGCAGCCAGUGGAACCGGAAGAGAAGAGAGGAAUGGCAGGUGUGACUGGACCAGUAUAUAAAAGGGACAGUUGGACGCCCUCAGCAUGUGCUACCUGCGGAAACCUUGGAAAGUUACUUGCUUGCGGGUUUGACUGUUGGUGACGUAGCGAGACUUCUUGGGGUUGGCGAAAGAACGGUUCACCGUUGGAUGACAGAAUAUGGCAUAAGGAUAGAGAGACUAUGGAGAGAUGUCUUUGGAGGAGUGUUGGAUCUGUUUUACACCACUUUCUGCAACCUGCAGGCAGAGGGCCUACUCAACUUCAACAAUGAAAUCCAUCUUUAUGCACUGCACUGGACCUUUCUCCCACAACUUCACAGGCAUUUGCAGUUGUUCAAGGAGGGCUGGAACCAUCAUCGCCUGUGCACUGAAGGGAAUCGGUCACCAUACCAGCUGUGGAAUCAAAACCAGCGUGAGGGUCAAGAUCCCCCCCCCCCCCCCCCGGUUUCUACUAGAAACUGUAAGGGAAAAACCUGGUCAAAGGUUACCAGGUAUUUUCAAU